GUUUUUUCGUGCUGCCCUGUAAUGGGAACUUAAUACAAAGGAUCCUCAAAAAGCGAACAAAUUGAACAAAAAAAGGACCAGCGUUGUUAAAACAGGCGAGCACUAGUUACAAGAGCAAUGUCUCAGCUGAAAAGUGCAGGAUGUCAGGCUUGCACGAGAGCACAAGGUGUCGAGUUUGACGCUUUAGUGUUUUUGUCGGGUCCACCUAAAUAGUGAGCAAUCUGCUACCUCUUUCAGGGCUCUGAAGGGUGAUUACCUGUCUUAUCAGAAGUUUCAAUCUCGCUGAUGGACUGAAUCUGUGCCUGGUCUGUUUUGCAUGCCUUCUUGUCUCAUUACCACGACUCAAAGUUUUCUUUGCAAACCAGCCACCAUGGGGCAGAGGGCCUCUUCGAGUUGCAUUGAGUAAGGGAAUUUAACGUAUGAUGCAUACCCGAGAGUUGCUAGGGAUGGUGCCUUGAGUCGGGGGAACAUCGUCCACACUUCCAAGACUUUUGCACGUGCUUGGCUACUGGACAUGGAUAAACAUUAUCCUUCAAAGUAAUCACCACCAAGCACCUUACUUGUCCAUGUACAACAAAAAAUAUGCAGCCACUCUUUGCCAAAAUUUGCUGUAGUCAGUUUGUUUGCUAAUCGGAGGAUAGUCCCAUCAAUGGCUCUCGGCGUCAUUAAAAUAUGGCAUCACUGAACGCGAAACCUGUUUUUUUCCACGGCAAGACCCGAAGUCUUCAUGUUUUCAUUAGUCGAAAGAGAGAAGUGGCAUUUUAAUGUGAAGGUGGUCUAGAAUAUCAAAGUUAGUUCAACUCAAGAGAUUGACCUCGUUUGUGGACUGUCGGAGUCUCUUUGGGACUUUGAAAGAAAAUGCCUUCCAAGAUGGGUGGAGUCGGAACUUGGCGAAGCAAUUAACGUUCAAAACGAUGCCCAUCUUGCUUUAUCAAACAUUCCAAACCUUCAGUGGAUGUCAGGUUGCCUUACUUCUUUCACAAGUACAGGGGCCUUAACGGAAUAUGAUCACUUUACGAUUGCUAAGGUGUCUCCCAAACACAUGGGUCUCGUCCAUUACGAGAAGGGUGUGAGACAAGCUUGAUUUGGUCUGGUUUUCCACCCCUCGAAAGCUAGCCCUUAAUUCCAGACCACGUAAUCAACGGCUUCACCAACCAUCAACCCUUCUAAUUUGACAAUUUGUGCGAGUGCCCUUGGCGAAGACAUUGAUCAUGGAUGAAAUCGUGUUAUUACGUACUCCAGGAUUGUUCUGGUCCUUAAUCAAAAGAAGGGAGGGGGCGCAACCCUGAUGAACUCCGAUAGUAAUGGUGAUGAAGAUGAAGAUAACAUUCCUCAUGCAAAAUAUCUGGGUAGUUGAUAUGUUUAUGUCCAUAUUAGGAUGAGCUGUGUUCCCCUAUCAAUCCUGGUUAAGUCACGAUCCUAUCACUAGAUAGAGGACGUUAGCAGACUGGACUAAUUACUUGGACAAGAUGCUCCAAUAAAAUGGAGCCCUGAUCCAAAUCGUCCUCAUUCAUUGGAUCUGAUUUUAAAAAUGAGGUCCGUCCAAGAUUGUAAAAGUAGGCUAAUCACUCAAAAUACUGGGAUCUGAUCACAUCUCGCAAUUUUUGUUUCCAUUCAAGCUUAAUUUGUCCCUUCUUGGUAGAAUGACCCUAUUUUGCCAUCAGCUAAUUCUUAUUCAUUUAUACACUUCUCCCAUGAAUGUUCGUAAUUCGAAUCUCUAGCUUUUUCAUAACUGAAAAUUGAAUCAUGACAAUUACAGCAACUUUAGUAGUUGAGUGAAUAUUUCAAUGGCAGAUGAGCUCAAAAUUAGUGACCCAUUUAAAAAAAACGCUUUUCUUGUAAAAAAUGUGUAACUGGACCAAAAACCAUGUAGUACUUAAUAACGCUCUUAAAUCCGUUCGAAAUCUUCUCAACCAGGUUCAGUUAACCAGAUUCAAGUGUCAGGCUUCCCCAGCAAAAAUGAAAUUGCCAGUUACCUCAACAAAUACUCUUGCAUUAACCCGCUUGACCUCGCCGUAGGCCAAUUAAUUCAAUGUCCUAUCAGUCGAUUCAAUCCUAUUCCAGUUGGUUGAAUCUCUUAAUCUCUCUAGAACAGGUCUCUACCUUACCUUUCACUGAAAAUACGAACUUCCGCGAACCAAACACACCGCUAUUUUAGAACUUAAAAACCGCACGAUCUUCCACUGCAAAUCGACGCCAAGGUGCUCUUGUUUCCACUCUAAGCGUCAACCGACAACUGAUUCCCGACUCUCGGUUCAACGUCGGGCUUGCGAAAAGAGCUUUGCGUAAAAAGAGCGAGCUAUCAACCAUCAACCAUCGACCAUCCAUUCAGUCUGAGACUUCUGAAAGUACAGCAUAUACGCAAACUAUGUACAAAAUGCGCGGAGUACCACGAAUCGAGCCCCAGAAUCCCGCUGAUUUUUCGAGCUCCAUUCUCCGAGCUAUUGCAAAAAAACGGGUUAGAAAUGCAAAUCUUUUCAAGAGGUGAUUGAUAUCUACACCUCCUAUGCGGAUUCUUUCUCAAUGAGUGCAUUUCCUUCCGAAGGUUCGUUAGGAGAAGGGUCUUGUAUAGACCUACGAACGAUGCAUACAUACCAGGGUGUUGUUUGAAUAAGCUUGAAACUAAGUGGUGGGAAACCGAACCGCAAGUGUUUGAGGGCAUAUGGAGCAAGUACAUCGAGAAUCAAUUGGUUCCCGGAGGUCCAGACCGACGAAUCGUAAAUGGGAAUCACAUUUCGUGAAUAGCUCGUAAGCCCAGAAACUUCAUUAAAGUACGACAUGAAAGAGGCAAUUGGAUUAGUUGGGAAACCAUGUAAUUAAAUAACUUGCGACUUGGCGUUCUCGAAUAACCAAAUCCGGAUGGGUUUCUUUUUUUAUAAUAGUAUCUUUUGUGAUUUGUUAAUCAGUUCAGAGACGUGUGAUUAGAAUGUUUAAUUCUGUCUGGAGCAACAAUAAAUCAAUGGCAUUUCUUUCGCAA